CCCCCUUCCUUCGCGCUCGCGGGCUCCGGCAGCUGCACCUGCUACUCUGGGUUUCUCCUCCGGGCGAGCGGGACUAGCGCUGCGCCUCGGGUCUUCCUCCGGGGGAGCCGGCGCAAUGGAGCCGUUGGCGUUGGCGCUCGGGAUAGCGGCUCUGCUGGGACUGUCUUCUGCUGUCUUGGAAGUGGAAGUUGGACAAACUUCAGUGACCGUGAUCCAAGGACAGCAGGCCAUACUUCCCGUCUGGUAUACGUCCACCAGUGUCAGUGUUCCCUUUGUCACCUGGCACAGGGAAAGACCUGGGGAGCGUUUUCAGAUCCUGGCCUUUAUGUAUGAGACCACCAAAGUGGAAGACCCCGAUCUCAAGCAGCGACUUGGAUUUUUGUUCCGUAUGCCUUUUCACAAUGUCUCCCUUGUAAUUAACAAUACCAAAGAAAUGGAUUCCGGCCAAUAUAUGUGUACCGUGAAUGUUCCAGAUGACAGUACGGUGAAUGGAAGAAACAUCGGACUUGUCAACCUCACCGUUCUAGUCCCACCGUCUCCACCAAAGUGUCAGAUUCAAGGCAGUGCAGAGGUUGGAGGCAACAUUACCAUGUCCUGCAAAUCUGCUUUUGGAAAACCGGUCCCAGUUUACCGUUGGCAGCGGACUGAGCCCAGUUACCAGUUUUUCUUUGCACCUGCACAAGAUACAAAGAAGGGGAUACUGACGUUGACCAAUCUUACUGUCGAGAUGUCUGGGGUGUAUCUCUGCAACGCCUCCAGCAUAGCUGGCCAUUCCAACUGCACCCUCAAUCUGGAAGUACAUCCACCAUCCAAUACAGCAGUGGUGGCUGGUGCAGUCGUGGGGACCCUCAUUGGACUUGGCCUGAUCAUAUUUUUUACACUUCAGUUGUUUAUCUACCGAAAGAAAAAGAAGGAAGCCCAAGAGGAUAUAGCCAAUGAAAUCAAGGAAGAUGCUGUAGCUCCCAAGACGCUCUCCUGGGUGAAAAAUUCCUGCUCGGAUGGACUCUCCAAAAAUGGAACGUUGUCAUCCAUGAACACAACCCGGGAUCACAAAUCCUAUCCCAUCCGGCCCCCCUCGGACACGGCCUCCAUCACCACUGCUGCAGGAAGCAUGGUGGGCUUCAAGGCCCCUUUCACUGACCCCAGAAAUGGGACCCUCACACCGACACCCAGCCUUUCCAGCCAAUCGCUGCCCCUCUAUUUUCCACCAGUGAUCAACGGGGUCCAGUGCCAUCAUGCCAAUGUGCCCAUCCACAGGAAUAACCUCCACCGGACAAACAGGGCUCAGCCACAGGCCCCUCAGCAACAGGAGCCCCCUGUCCCCACUGCUCAAGGCUUAACUGCUUCCACUCUGAAUCGCAUGGGAGCAGUACCUGUCAUGGUUCCUGCUCAAAGCCAGGCAGGAUCUUUGGUGUAAAUGUGCUGUAACUCCAUAGCUCUCUGUGCGGCUAUCGGUUUGACUCAUCGCAAGCACUGUCAAGAGACAGGUGCGAAUUGUGCUGCUUCGCCAGCCUGUCUGCGGAGGUCCAGGGUCUGUGUGUGUGUUGGGGUUCUUGGAUUUGUUCUUCAAGUGACCAAAUGUCAAGACUUUGCCAUAAGUGAGACCUUAUCGGGACUUCUGAAAAGGACUUUUAAAAAAAAUUUUGGUAACCAGAAGAAUUUCUGUUUAUCUGUCCAGUCUUAUUCUUCCUAGUGCACCAGCCCCAUUCCAUCUCCUCUGGGAAUCUACCUAACAGAGACAAGGUUUAACUGGAUAAAAAUAUGUUUGUUCUCUAACAUGACUCUUAACGUUGAGGAAGAGAAGCAAGCUGUGGUUUACUGCAGAGAUGGGUUUCAGCAGAUUCUGACCAGUUCUGGAGAACCGGUAGCGGAAAUUUUGAAUAGUUCGGAGAACCAGUAGUAAAAAUUCUGACUGGCCCCACCCCCAUCUAUUCUCUGCCUCCCAAGUCCCAGCUAUUCGGGAGGAAAUGGGGAUUUUGCAGUAACCUUCCCAUGGAGUGGGGAGGGAAUGGAGAUUUUACAGUAUCAUUCCCCUGCCACGCCCACCAAGCCACACCCGCAGAACCGGUAGUAAAAAAAAUUGAAACCCACCACUUGGCUUAGAAUAAGAGAAGGAAAUAGAUCUGAAGUCUGUAUGCAAACUGCCUUCCCACCUACUUUUCAAGAAGUAGCUCACACAAAGGGAAACUGUUCAGACACUUAGGAAGGGAAGGUAAAGAUAAUUGAAACCUACCUGAUUUCAUGACAAAGGUCUACACAUUAGAUAAAUCUGCACAAAUCACAAUUUUUUUUUUGUUUUUUUUUGUUUACAUUUAUACCCCGCCCUUCUCCGAAGACUCAGGGCGGCUUACAAUGUAUAGGGCAAUAGUCUCAUUCUAUUUGUAUAUAUUUACAAAGUCAACUUAUUGCCCCCCCAACAAUCUGGGUCCUCAUUUUACCUACCUUAUAAAGGAUGGAAGGCUGAGUCAACCUUGGGCCGGGCUCGAACCUGCAGUAAUUGCAGGCUUUGUGUUCUUAAUAACAGGCCUUACCAGGCAGAGCUAAACCGGCCCUAUGAUUGAGUUAGAAUCUCCGCUGCCAUCUUCUACCCGCUCCUUGUAGACAAUGUUUUUCAGCAAUAGGUAGAGUUGCAGCCAAAGUGGAGGUGUGACUUCCUUUCUUGUUAUUCCUGUCUCCUUCUUCCAUCUCCCCAAAAGAAACUAAAGGACAGUUCAGUCUCACUGUUGGUUGGGCUGAUGGCCUACAAGCAGUUCUUGGUGUCACUUCAAAGGUAAUUAAUUCAUAAACCCUUCAGCUGCCUCUUGAGAACACCUGAUUUUAGAUCACCACUGAUUUUAGAAGUGUGCAACUUUUUGAAGACACAAACUUCCAUAUGUAUGAAGAAGCCACCAUAUAUUACAUUUGAAGAAAAGACCAUUUUAAUGGAAUUAAUGGGGAAUAUCAAUGGUGUGAGGAAUGAAUUAAUGCAAUUAUUCCAGAUUUCUGUAAUAAUCCUUAAAAUGACAACUUUAAAAUUCGUCACUUAUGAAGGCCCAUCCAAGUCUUUGGAGAUUCACCUGCACUUGUUGGGCACUAAAUUAGGUAGUAUCAAUGCCUCCUGAAAUAAGUUUGGUACAAAAUAAAUGCAGCCUUAUUCAAGAGGUUAUCUUUCACAAUGGAUACAACUAGCUGUGUAAUAUCCUUUUUCCUGAAAUGGUAUCCUAGAUUAUUUAAUUUGGCAGCCUUAUGGACAAGAUGAAUUUAGCUCAGGAUGGAACUAUUUGGAGAGAUAAGUGCCAUGAAGUUGCCAAGGCUGUAUCAUAAAUGCAAAAAGAGAUCAAAGUAUUGGUGUUCCCCUGAAGAUGCUUGGAAAUGGUUUUUGAUAGGAAUAAGAUAAAUGGAAUAUAUGAAACAGACAAUAAUUUGGCAGGUGCUCCGGUUUUUACACUUGGUGGUUUUGAAACUGAAAAGUGGAUGCCACCUUUAAAAUGUAUAAAUCUAAAUAGUAGCUUUGCAACAGAAAUUCAUUUUUAUAGAGCCAUAAAGUGCUUCCCUAAGGUAACGUUUCUUAUUAAUCCAAGGUAAUCGUAUAAUUCAGCAUUGUCAGAUGGCACAGUCUUUAUGAAGCUGGUGACACACAGAUCUGUAGAGGUUGGAGACCCCUGAUGUAGAAUAUGCUUUUCAGGAAGUGCUCACAAACCUAAGGAAGGCUAGAAGGCAAGGCAAGUUGAGAAAGGAUUCUGCUGAUUUUAUGUACAGGCAGUCCUUGACUUAUGACCAUAGUUGGGACUGGAACAUGUGCUGCUAAGUGAGGAAUUGUUAAGUGAAUUUCACCCAAUUUAAUGACCUUUUUUUGCCAUGGUUGUUAAGGAGAAUCACUAUGAUUAUUAAGUAAAUCAUGCAAUUGUUAAGUGAAUCUAGUUUCCCCCACUGACUUUACUUGUUGGAAGGCACCUGGGAAAUGCAGAUCACAUGAUCCUGAGAUUCGGCAACUGUCAUAAAUAUAUGCCGGUUGCCAACCACCCCAGUUUUGAUCACAUGAUCAUGGGGAUGCUGCAAUGGUUGUGUCAGAACCAAUUGGAAGUCACUUUUUUCAGUGCCAUUGUAACCUUGAAUAGUCACCCAAAAAGGUUGAAAAUCAACCGUCAUCCAUGUAGCUUUAUUACCAGCAAUACAAGAUUGAGUUAGAAUUGUUUUCGUCUAGGAUGAUAGUUGGUCUAGGACAGGGGUCUGCAAACUUGGCUCUUUUAAGACUUGUGGGCUUCAACUCCCAGAGUUCCUCAGCCAGCUUUAAAGUCUACAAGUCUUAAAAGAGCCAAGUUUGCAGACCCCUGGGCUCGGAUAUAGCUGUGGUUUUCUCUGCAAGUCUACCUUGUAUUCUCUGGAGGUGUCCCUCACCCAAAGAAAGCCAGCCAGUUGCUCUAAAUCAGAGUGUCCAACCUUGGAGAAUUCCCCAGCCAGCCAUUAAAGUUACCAAGGUUGGACAUCCCUGCUCUAAAUGAGUCAGGCUGUUCUCUUCUAGGCAAAAUAGCUACCCGUUUUGGCUCCAAAACCUAUUAGCUUUUUUAAAAAAAGAGUCUUAGAAUAAAUGGAACCCCUUUUAUGACUGUGGUUAGGACCUUCACACCUGCAGGGUUGAUUCUAGAAAAUAUACUUUUAUUCCAAUUUGUGUCCUCCUGUUCCUUAGUGAAUCACAUAGGAACUCUACUGGGAUAUUCUGUAUUAGUGUUUUUGAAAGUUGGCAACUUUAAAAUGUGUGAACUUCAACUCUCAGAAUCGUCAGCAUGUCAGUUCAAAAACGCGUCUCUAUCUGCUUCUCUUGCGGUUAAGGCCAAAUACUGCCUCAGGUCUAACAAAAUAUGACAUCUUCCAUAACUCUUAAGAACAUGUCUUGUAAUAUUAUAGAGCAACUUUCUACCAGGCCUCUUAAAUGAACUGUUUAAAGGACACCUUUUGCAUCUUAAUAUAUAUUGUGCAAUUAUGUUUAUUCAAUGGACAAAUUCCUAUAUUUGUUUUUCUUUUUUCUUUUAUAAAUGUAGAUGGAGUAAAUAAUUUAUACUUCUAGAUAUUAACAGGUCUGUGAAUUUGGACUGGAGUCCUCUAACCAUUUUCAUGCUAGCUAUUUUUAUUUUUCAAUGGCAAUAAGAUCCUUCUGUUGGGUGGGAAGGUAGGGAUACACUGAAGUAUUUUUAUGUACAGUUUUGAAAUGUAUUAUUUUUCAUAAACAAUCAUUAAAAGUAUUUGUUUUUAUAUCAAGUAAAA